AGCCCAGAGCCUGAAUCAGUGUGUGUGUUAGUGGAAGCGUCUGGAAAGGCGCGCGAUACAGGGUGACAGCCCCGUACACAAAAAUGCACAUGCUGUGAGCUCGAUGAGUAGGGCGGGACACGUGGUAUCCUGUCUGAAUAUGGGGGGACCAUCCUCCAAGGCUAAAUACUCCUGACUGACCGAUAGUGAACCAGUACCGUGAGGGAAAGGCGAAAAGAACCCCGGCGAGGGGAGUGAAAAAGAACCUGAAACCGUGUACGUACAAGCAGUGGGAGCACGCUUAGGCGUGUGACUGCGUACCUUUUGUAUAAUGGGUCAGCGACUUAUAUUCUGUAGCAAGGUUAACCGAAUAGGGGAGCCGAAGGGAAACCGAGUCUUAACUGGGCGUUAAGUUGCAGGGUAUAGACCCGAAACCCGGUGAUCUAGCCAUGGGCAGGUUGAAGGUUGGGUAACACUAACUGGAGGACCGAACCGACUAAUGUUGAAAAAUUAGCGGAUGACUUGUGGCUGGGGGUGAAAGGCCAAUCAAACCGGGAGAUAGCUGGUUCUCCCCGAAAGCUAUUUAGGUAGCGCCUCGUGAAUUCAUCUCCGGGGGUAGAGCACUGUUUCGGCAAGGGGGUCAUCCCGACUUACCAACCCGAUGCAAACUGCGAAUACCGGAGAAUGUUAUCACGGGAGACACACGGCGGGUGCUAACGUCCGUCGUGAAGAGGGAAACAACCCAGACCGCCAGCUAAGGUCCCAAAGUCAUGGUUAAGUGGGAAACGAUGUGGGAAGGCCCAGACAGCCAGGAUGUUGGCUUAGAAGCAGCCAUCAUUUAAAGAAAGCGUAAUAGCUCACUGGUCGAGUCGGCCUGCGCGGAAGAUGUAACGGGGCUAAACCAUGCACCGAAGCUGCGGCAGCGACGCUUAUGCGUUGUUGGGUAGGGGAGCGUUCUGUAAGCCUGUGAAGGUGUGCUGUGAGGCAUGCUGGAGGUAUCAGAAGUGCGAAUGCUGACAUAAGUAACGAUAAAGCGGGUGAAAAGCCCGCUCGCCGGAAGACCAAGGGUUCCUGUCCAACGUUAAUCGGGGCAGGGUGAGUCGACCCCUAAGGCGAGGCCGAAAGGCGUAGUCGAUGGGAAACAGGUUAAUAUUCCUGUACUUGGUGUUACUGCGAAGGGGGGACGGAGAAGGCUAUGUUGGCCGGGCGACGGUUGUCCCGGUUUAAGCGUGUAGGCUGGUUUUCCAGGCAAAUCCGGAAAAUCAAGGCUGAGGCGUGAUGACGAGGCACUACGGUGCUGAAGCAACAAAUGCCCUGCUUCCAGGAAAAGCCUCUAAGCAUCAGGUAACAUCAAAUCGUACCCCAAACCGACACAGGUGGUCAGGUAGAGAAUACCAAGGCGCUUGAGAGAACUCGGGUGAAGGAACUAGGCAAAAUGGUGCCGUAACUUCGGGAGAAGGCACGCUGAUAUGUAGGUGAAGUCCCUCGCGGAUGGAGCUGAAAUCAGUCGAAGAUACCAGCUGGCUGCAACUGUUUAUUAAAAACACAGCACUGUGCAAACACGAAAGUGGACGUAUACGGUGUGACGCCUGCCCGGUGCCGGAAGGUUAAUUGAUGGGGUUAGCGCAAGCGAAGCUCUUGAUCGAAGCCCCGGUAAACGGCGGCCGUAACUAUAACGGUCCUAAGGUAGCGAAAUUCCUUGUCGGGUAAGUUCCGACCUGCACGAAUGGCGUAAUGAUGGCCAGGCUGUCUCCACCCGAGACUCAGUGAAAUUGAACUCGCUGUGAAGAUGCAGUGUACCCGCGGCAAGACGGAAAGACCCCGUGAACCUUUACUAUAGCUUGACACUGAACAUUGAGCCUUGAUGUGUAGGAUAGGUGGGAGGCUUUGAAGUGUGGACGCCAGUCUGCAUGGAGCCGACCUUGAAAUACCACCCUUUAAUGUUUGAUGUUCUAACGUUGACCCGUAAUCCGGGUUGCGGACAGUGUCUGGUGGGUAGUUUGACUGGGGCGGUCUCCUCCUAAAGAGUAACGGAGGAGCACGAAGGUUGGCUAAUCCUGGUCGGACAUCAGGAGGUUAGUGCAAUGGCAUAAGCCAGCUUGACUGCGAGCGUGACGGCGCGAGCAGGUGCGAAAGCAGGUCAUAGUGAUCCGGUGGUUCUGAAUGGAAGGGCCAUCGCUCAACGGAUAAAAGGUACUCCGGGGAUAACAGGCUGAUACCGCCCAAGAGUUCAUAUCGACGGCGGUGUUUGGCACCUCGAUGUCGGCUCAUCACAUCCUGGGGCUGAAGUAGGUCCCAAGGGUAUGGCUGUUCGCCAUUUAAAGUGGUACGCGAGCUGGGUUUAGAACGUCGUGAGACAGUUCGGUCCCUAUCUGCCGUGGGCGCUGGAGAACUGAGGGGGGCUGCUCCUAGUACGAGAGGACCGGAGUGGACGCAUCACUGGUGUUCGGGUUGUCAUGCCAAUGGCACUGCCCGGUAGCUAAAUGCGGAAGAGAUAAGUGCUGAAAGCAUCUAAGCACGAAACUUGCCCCGAGAUGAGUUCUCCCUGAC
rnacentral:rRNA from 1 species